UACGGAGGAUGCGAGCGUUAUCCGGAUUUAUUGGGUUUAAAGGGUGCGUAGGCGGGACCUUAAGUCAGCGGUAAAAUUGCGGUGCUCAACGCCGUAGAGCCGUUGAAACUGGGGUUCUUGAGUGAGCGAGAAGUAUGCGGAAUGCGUGGUGUAGCGGUGAAAUGCUUAGAGAUCAUACAGAACACCGAUUGCGAAGGCAGCUUACCAAGCUACUUCUGACGUUGAGGCACGAAAGCGUGGGGAGCAAACAGG
rnacentral:rRNA from 1 species